ensembl:lncRNA SNHG14 small nucleolar RNA host gene 14
GGAUCGAUGAUGAGAAUAAUUGUCUGAGGAUGCUGAGGGACUCAUUCCAGAUGUCAAUCUGAGGUCCAGAUGUGUGGCCCUCCAAUAGGACAAAUAAGACUCUCAGAGCCUGGCUCUAUUUGGGGAUCCCUCAGUGACAACAUAGUACCUCUGUGAGCGUGCCUUUUCUAUCUCUCCGAAGAGGGCAUUAGCAUCCUGUCUUAUGAGUCAGUAUGCACUUUAGUAUGGUUAGUGACCCAAGACUCACUUUAUUUUGUUCAUUUUGAGCAGAGAAUUGUAGAUAGAUACAUAUAUGGGAAAUAUGUUCUUGAUUAACAAAUGAAAAAAUGAAAAAGUUUCAGUCAAGAAAGGUCAAGGAACUGUGAUGUAUAGUGAAGGCAGGGAACACUGCAUGCCUGUAUUAAAUAUUGACAAAGGAACCAAUUUUAGUGCUUUGUUAUUUUUACUGUUGAGUAUUUUCUGAGACCAUUUCUUUUUCUUCUAUUUUGUUUUGCUGAGGUAGAGGAGGGCUGGAAUGAGGUCCUCCACUUCAGAAAAUAGGGUGGCUUACUGGAUAAUAUCUAAAUACUGUAUAUUUUACUUUGGCUGGAGUACAUUGGCCCAGUCAGAGCUCACUUCAGCUCUUCACCCUGUAGCCCUUAACUCCUGGGCUCAAGUGAUCCUCCACCCUCAGCCUCCCAAGUAUCUAGGAAUACAGAGGCAGUUGCUGUGGGAGGUGUGGUAACUGCUGGAAGGAAGAUGCUCAAUUCUUCUGAGCAACGAAGGCCACACGGAGUCCUGGAUUCUGUGUGGCCUGGCAUCCAUGGCGCACUGUGUGCUGGCAGGUGGCUCAGGACGGUAAGCAUUUCUCUGCCCAGUAUGCUGAAUGAGGGUGUCUUUCGGAUUUCCAAGACCCGCAAGGAGCAGUUUCUCAGCUAACCACUAAUGGCAUGGCGAGUUCCUCUCCUAGAGUGGAUAGUCUGUGCUCAUUGCUCAGUGGCAUCGCUCUAGUGGGGCCGAAGGUCUUUAAGGUCAUUGGCUCACCCACUGCCCAGCCUGUGGUGUCAAAUAUCCUGCCCCUUGCCCCUUCAAAUGUGCUUGGAUCGAUGAUGAGUCCCCAAAAAAAACAUUCCUUGGAAAAGCUGAACAAAAUGAGUGAAAACUCAUACCGUCAUUCUCAUCGGAACUGAGGUCCAGCACGUUGCCUUCCCCGGGGACUGUAGGAGUGAGGGACAACUUCCACUGAUUCCCAUAGGUUCCACCACCCAAGGCAUCCACAGCCAAAGUCUCCCAUCAAAUGCUCAUUAGGAACAUUCCCUUUUUGUGAGGUACACAGGUAGGAGAGUCCUGGGGGGAACGGCUGCUCUGUGAUGGCCUGGUGGCCAUGGAAGCAGACAGAAAUAUCGCAGGCCUAGGGUAGUGUGCGCCUGAUCUUGGCUUGGUGAGCUCCUAGGAAGGGAGACGCGGACCUCGUGGCAGGCGUCUCUGAGCAGAGGACUGAGUCCUUGUUUUCUUGCCGGGGAGAGCACAAGGCCCAGGCCUCAGGCAGAUGUUGGUCCUGAUUUUUGAUUAGCUGAGGACAAGGGAGUGCCAAGGGUGAUGGGGGACAGUGUAUAACAAAGGGUGUUGUGACAGAGAGCCAAAGCCUCUUUGGCCCUCCACCCAGCAUCCAGUCAUGGAGGCCCCCCAGCAGGGAUUUCUUCAUCCCCUGAGCCGUGAGAUGCCCCUGGUGCUAUGGUGGAAGCCUGGACUGGAAGUGGAUGACAAGUUGGCCAGCAGAGGUGUCAGAGGGCAGGUUCCAGGGAAUACAAGGGUCAGACUUGUGCUCCUGGCCCUUGGUCACUUCUCGUCUUCCUGACAGAGUAGUGGGCUCCACUGUUGGGCACAUCUUCCUGGAAGUCGUCUCUUGGCCCGCCAUUGCCGAGCGGCCACACCUGCUGCAGCUCGUGUGAGCAAAUAUGGCUCUGGAUCCUCUUUCCUGCUUUGAAAGCAGCUUCCAUCCUGAAGGCGUCCAGAGGGGGCAGUUAUCAUGGGACACCCGCCAUAUGCUGGCAAGGAAGAUGGUCAGUUCUUCUGAGCCACAAAGGCCCCCAACAUCCUGGAGUUGGUGUUGCCUAGCAUCCACGGUGCGCCCCCUGCUGGUGGAUGGCUCAGGAUGGUAAGCAUUCCUCCGCCGCACAUGCUGAGUGGGGGUGGGAUUUCCAAGACCUGCAAGGAGCUGUUUCUCAGCAGGCCACUGAUGGCAUGGCGAGUUCCACUCCUAAAGUGAACGGUCUGUGCCCAUUGUUCAGUGGUGCAGCUCUGGCUUCCCCAGCGUGCGGAGGGUUUUUAAGGUCAUCGGCUUGCCCACUGCCCAGCCUGUGGUGUCAAAUAUCCUGCCCCUUCAAAUGUGCUUGGAUCGAUGAUGAGUCCCCCAUAAAAACAUUCCUUGGAAAAGCUGAACAAAAUGAGUGAGAACUCAUACCGUCGUUCUCAUCGGAACUGAGGUCCA